UACGUAGGGGGCAAGCGUUAUCCGGAAUUACUGGGUGUAAAGGGAGCGUAGACGGUAAUGUAAGUCUGGAGUGAAAGGCGGGGGCCCAACCCCCGGACUGCUCUGGAAACUAUGUUACUAGAGUGCAGGAGAGGUAAGCGGAAUUCCUAGUGUAGCGGUGAAAUGCGUAGAUAUUAGGAGGAACACCAGUGGCGAAGGCGGCUUACUGGACUGUAACUGACGUUGAGGUUCGAAAGCGUGGGUAGCAAACAGG
rnacentral:rRNA from 1 species